GGGGCUCUAGUUCAGUGCUACAGCGUCCGCUUUGCCUGCGUAAGGCCCGGGGUUCAAGCCCCCGCAGCUCCA
rfam:Trichuris suis scaffold74.11, whole genome shotgun sequence.